ACAACCCAGAAGGAAAAAAUUAUGCCACUCACCUUACCACGUGGAGGCCUACAUCUCAUUACAGCAUGCUUAUCUGCACUCCCACUUGACUCUACAGCUGUCUAGCCAGAGACCAGAAUGAUACAUCUGGAAAAGUUGUGUGGGCUGAGGGAGUUUACAUUCAUUUUGCAAUGUUCACAAGAAAACUAACUGUAGAAAGGACUGAUGGACAUAAUGUGUUUGAGCUCUCCAGGAGAGGGCUGGGAAGUACAGGACAUACAUUUCUGGAGGAAGAUCCAGGACUGUGGAUGGAUUGGGGUCACCCUGCAGCAUAACCAAGGCUGCAUACAGGCAAUGUGCCACAGUGGAAGGAAUCUGAAAGAGGAAGUCAGAGUCAAAGAUUAAGGCCAGAAGGAACCACUAGAUCAUCCAGUCUGACCUCCUGCAUCUCACAGGCCACCAACAGCACCCAGUAGUACCUGCACACUAAACCCAACCAUCAAAAGGAGACCAAAAUAUUACAGCCCACAGAAGAUGAGACUACUAUGUGCCAGCGACAAAGAACAGUAGGGACCAAGGAGCACCAGCAUUCAAGGCCCCUGCAAUAGCAAGUGACCCACAUGCUGCAGAGAAAGACAAAAAACCUCACGUCACUGCCAAUUUGACUUGGGGGAAAGUUCCUUCCUGACGUCACAUAUUGCCAUGACUUAGACCCUGGGCAUGAGUGCAAGAACCAGCUCCAAGCACCUGAGAGAGAGAAUGUUCAAUACCACGUCAGAGCACUGGCCCUCUGCCCAAUGCCUCAUCUCAAGCCAUGGCCAUCCCUGAUGCUUCAGAGAAAGGAGAUUAAAGAAAGCCUUCCAGAAUACAGUGUGUGUGUGGGAAAAUCCUUCCUGACUCCAUUAUUCCAGAUGCAGUCCUACUAGUGCCUUGUUCGGUGGCAUUCAUAAUUUUCUCUCUCUACUGGAAGUGCCUUGUCUAGUACAUUCUAUGAUUGCAUUUGCCUUUUUCACACUACAACACAUUGGAGGCUCAGGGUCAUCCUGUGAUCAACCCACACACCCAAGUCUCUCUCCUUUGUUGCUUCCAACUGAUGAAUCCCCAGCUUGCAGCAGAAAUUUUUCUUAUUAGACCACAAGUGCAGGAUCUUGCAUUUUGUACUAUUGAAUCUCAGCCCAUUUCUGUCAUUCUAAUCUUCCAGGUCAUCUUCCUGUAUAAUAUUCUGAUCCUCCUCUGUAUUUAUGAUGCCUUACAACUUUGUAUCAUUAGCAAAUUUGAUUAGCACACUCCUACUUUUUGUGCAAAGGUAACUAAUAAAAAAAUAUUGUAAAGAGAUCAACAAGGAAAUGGGUUUAGCUGACUUCAAGGUAUUGAAACAGUGUUUCUAAGCAUCUUGGAACUGGCUUUGCAUUAAAAGAUAAAAGUAAUAGCAAUUUUAAAAAAAGUACAUCAGAAGCAAAAUGCCUGCUAAACAACCAGUGGGGGACACUGGACG